GACGAACGCUGGCGGCGUGCUUAACACAUGCAAGUCGAACGGAAAGGCCCUGCUUUUGUGGGGUGCUCGAGUGGCGAACGGGUGAGUAACACGUGAGUAACCUGCCCUUGACUUUGGGAUAACUUCAGGAAACUGGGGCUAAUACCGGAUAGGAGCUCCUGCUGCAUGGUGGGGGUUGGAAAGUUUCGGCGGUUGGGGAUGGACUCGCGGCUUAUCAGCUUGUUGGUGGGGUUGGGGCUUACCAAGGCUUUGACGGGUAGCCGGCCUGAGUGGGUGAGGGCCCAAGUUGGCAAAGAGAGAGCGCCGAGACCUCUGCGAGGGGAGGCAGUGGGUUAUUGUGCACCGUGAGCAGUCCACUUAUACAGACGCCGCGAGUGCGGAGUAGGGCUUCUCGUGUUAUAAAGCGCUUUCGUCUGUGAAGCAGAGAGAGUCGCGAGUGUGAAUAAAGGCGCCGCGGAAAAACUCG
rnacentral:rRNA from 1 species